rnacentral:rRNA from 1 species
UAAUGCCUACGGGGGGCAGCAGUGGGGAAUAUUGCACAAUGGGGGAAACCCUGAUGCAGCGACGCCGCGUGAGUGAAGAAGUAUUUCAGUAUGUAAAGCUCUAUCAGCAGGGAAGAAAUACUGACCUUACGGUCAGCAGACGGUACCUGACUAAGAAGCCCCGGCUAACUACGUGCCAGCAGCCGCGGUAAUACGUAGGGGGCAAGCGUUAUCCGGAUUUACUGGGUGUAAAGGGAGCGUAGACGGCUGUGCAAGUCUGAAGUGAAAUGCCGGGGCUCAACCCCGGAACUGCUUUGGAAACUGUA